rnacentral:lncRNA from 10 species
GAAAAGUGUUGUCAUUUGAACGUCAAGGGUUUCUCAGACCACCAGAAAAGAUUAUCUCCUUUUGAUAUCUCUGCUUAGAGGAAUACAGAAUGUGGCCACAUGUUACUCUUCUACCAAUGUCAGGAUAAAGCAUGCAUUAGGAUCCCUCAGUGGAGAACUAUGUCCAUUCCAUGCUCCUUCCAACUAGUUUGAGAAAUGGCUCCAAAUUUUCCUUAAUAUUAUUCUGAAUUGCUCUAUGAAGUAAAUGUCAGGCAUUUUAUUUCCAUUUCCCUAAAAUAGAGAAUGGGUUGCUAGGGAAAAUGCCUAAGCCAGCCAUAAAGCAUUUCCAAAGGGAGGACAUAGUGAAUAAAAAAUGUUAAUUCCUGUCUUGUUUAACAAGCUCUCAUGGCAGCUCCAAGGGGUAGUAAAAUUUAUACUCCUACCAGGACAGCUCUAGACUAUGGCAUCAGCAUGGGAUGGAAAGUAGCCCUGGGAAACAGAAUAGUGUGGUUGCCUGCUACCCUUUACUUAUCUGAAUAGUUUGUCUCUGCUGUGCCCAGGAGGUUUGCACCUCAUGGGGUGGGAGGUGGUGCAAUCAGACUCCCUGUGGUGGCGACCAGUAUCUUCAAACUCAUACCAGAGUAAAGCCUUAUCCAUUUGGAGUUCUUUCUGAUGCAUUAUGUGAGAAAAACAAGCAAACAAAUGAACACUUAUUUGUAUUUGAAUUGCACUAAAUUUAUACAUGAAACUGAAAAAAACUGAUAUCUUUAUGAAGCUGCAUAAUCCUAUCCAAGGACAGACGUCUCCUUCCAUUUGUUUUGGAUACAUCUGGAAUUGACUUUUUUGCAUGGUGUAAGAAAUAACAGUUCUUCCUGGAUCAGCCCUCUCCCGUCUGUCAUCUCCAACAGAUACAAAGCCAGCUUUAAGAAGACCAAACCUACAAAAAUCAUUCAUGCUUUCUGCCUCCAUGUUUUUCUUUCCAACCUAGUUCCUCCAGAAAAUGUAAAAGAGCAACCGAACCGUCAACUGGUACAAUGACUUCUACACAUCAGACCUCGGCCACGCCACAGUCAUCAGAUUAUUCUAUCACAGGGUCUCUCAACCGUGGAAUAUGGUCUCCAAGGGAAACAAGCCACAGAGGGCUCAGGAGCAUUGCUAUAAAGAGUAGGCAAAUGGAAAUCUUUCCCCAAAGGGCACACUGGGAUUGUUAGGCGAGGGCUGCUCAAUCCAUUAAAAGUUUAAACUCGAAAAAAAAAAAGAAAAAAAAAACCUUUUGAAAAAAUACAGAAAGCAACCUGUUCUAGAUUUUGUGUAUAAAAGAGAGUUUAUUCAGGGGACUGAAAUGUUGACAGUGAAUCAACUGGGAGGAUAUUUUCAAUCAGAACCGUCUGACUGACAGCUUUCAUAUUAUUAAUGCACAUACUAGGAGACAUCAAAUUUGAAGGGCAGGCAUUGUGCUAAGUCAGACUUCUACCUUAAAAUGCAUUACAUUUUGUCUGUAAAUCAAGGUCAGUUAUUAAAUUAAGGUGCUCUCAUCCCUAAAUACUUUAUUCCAUCAUCGUGUGUAAUUAAUCACAAACCCCUUACUUGGGGUUCUUUAGAAAGUGAUGAGCAAAACCCAUAAAAAAUUAAGAGAAAAAAUAACAGGUAUCUUUUAAAAAACAGGGAAUAAGUGCAAGGAAAUUUAAGUAUAAGUAAAAAAAUUUGCACGAUUCUUUAAAUAGAUAAUAGAUAUAAUAAUAAUAAUUUUGCAGCCCUACAAUUCCACAGCAUAUUAAUCUUUUCAAAUCUGUUAUUUUUCACCAUUAAAACAAUCAUGUAAAACAGGUGGAGUACUUCAAUAUUCCAAUUUCACAGAUGCAUACACUGAGUCAAGGAAAAGUUAAGUAUCUAUUAAGUCAUCCAGCUUACUGGAUAUGGAACUGAGACUUGAAAGCAUAUCUUCUAAAUCCGACCUCUUCUCUAAAGAUAGUGUCACCUUUCUCCAAAGAUAGUGUCAGGACAUAGAAAGCAGAAGUUAAACUGUAUGCGCUAUUCUGCCUUCCAUACUUAUUUUUCCCAAGAAGUAAUUUAAAAAACACAUUGGAGAUAAUGCUUGUGAAGCACUUUGCUAAAUGCUAAAUUGUCCGAACACUUUGGAAAAAAGUGGCAGUUUCUUAAAAAAUUAACAAAGAAUUACCAUAUGACCCAGCAAUUCCACUCCUAGCCAUGUACUGAGGAGAACUGAAAAUAUAUGUCCAUGUAAAAACUUAGAGUUAAAUAUUUGUAGCAGCUUUAUUUAAAAUAGCCAAAAAGUGGAAACAACCCCCCAAAAAUGUGCCUCAGUGAUGGAUGUAUAAAUAAAACAUGUUGUAUACAUAACAAUGAAAUAUUAUUUAGCCACAAAAAGAAAUGAAGUUUCUUUUUAUAUUAGUUGGCCAUAAAAAGAAAUAAAGAGUUUUUUGUUUUGUUUUGUUUUGUUUUUUUGUAGCAUGUACUGACCUGGAAAACCUCAUGCUAAGUGAAAGAAGGCAGUUACAAAGGACCACAUAUUUUUGAUACCAUUUAUAUAACAUGUCUAGAACAGGCAAAUCUAGAGAGAUGGAAAGUAGGUUAGUGGUUGGCUAGUACUAGAGUAAGCAAGCAGGGAUUGGAGGGUAUUGGCUAAGGAAUACAGGGUUUCUUUCUGUGGUGCUUUUCUUAAAAAGUUCUAAAAUUGAUUGUUGUGUUGUUUGCACAAUGCUGUGAAUAUCCUAAAAGCUACUGAAUGAUACACUUUAAAUGGGUGAAUUAUAUGGUAGGUAGAUUAUGUCUCAAUAAAACUGUUAAAAAACACAAAAGCAUACUCUGUUUCAAAUGUUGCCUAAGAUCAUCUCUGCAUUCAAAAGAGGUAAAAGAAACCCUCUUUCUUUACUUCCUUUACUUUUUCUUCUAUUAGUCUUCCCAGUUUUUAGGAUCCAGAACUCAAGUUCUUGUGAUAAGUUAUUUGCAAAGUACGAAGGAGUUUGCUCCACUUUGAUUUGCCUGAGAUCUAAACCCAGAUGUAGUAUUUUGAUGGGCAUUCUGAGUUUUCAACAUCUUACUGACAGGAAGACUGGCUGGAAGGACACAAUCCUUCUGUACAAAGGACACUGAGUAUUCUUUAAUCUUGUAUCUGUUUUUGUUUCUGUCUCUUACCUGGAUUCUUGUGUUGCAUUAUCCACACUUACACAUAACAAUUCAUAACACUUCAACUCCAAGCCAUUAGAUUGGGGAGGGUUAAAAAACCCUGUAGCCAGGCAUGAUGCCUCAGGCCUGUUAUCUCAGCAUUUUGGGAGGCCGAGGUGGGAGGAUGGCUUGUGGUCAGGAGUUCAAGACCAGCCAGAGCAAUGUAGUCAGAUCCUGUCUCUACAAGAAAAUCAAAAAACUAGCCAGCCAUGUCACCAUAUGCCUGUAGUCCCAGCUACUCAAGAGGCUGAGGUGGGAGGAUCGCUUGAGCCCAGGAAGUUGAGGCUGCAUGAAUUAUGAUUAAAGGACUGCACCCCAGCCUGGGCACACAGCAAAAUGCUGCUUCUAAAAAAAAAUUUUAAAAAUGAAUAAAGAAAGAAAAAUUUAAAAAUAAACACUGUAACCACUAUUACUUACUUGACUUCCCAGCUUUCCUUUUUCUAGCUUUUAGAGAAAUGGCUCUUAGUAUCUCUGCAAACCACCUACCUAAUCACUAGCUUAAUCUGAUAUAAUAAAAUAAAAUUUACAUAAAAUCAUUCCCAUAGUAACUACCUACACAAUUAGAUACAAUAGUUCUCUAAUUUUAAGAGGUAACUGUUCUCUUUUCAGGUGCAAAGUUAACCUAAAACACAGCACAAUGUUUUUUUAAAAAAUACAUUAGUCAAAUCUAAGCAGGCAUAUUAAACAAUAAAAGGAGGUGAUUUCAUCACAUGCACAAGGCUGAAAACUUUUUUCUCACUUAAUUAUUUAAAGAUUGUGAACUCUUUGAUGUAAGAAUGUGUUUUUUAAUUCAUUUUUAUGCCUUUACAUUUCUUGAAUAUCUUGAAUAUUUCCUACUAUAUAAUGGGUG